rnacentral:rRNA from 1 species
CAGUAGCCACGGGAAUACGUAGGGUGCGAGCGUUGUCCGGAAUUAUUGGGCGUAAAGGGCUCGUAGGCGGUUUGUCGCGUCGGGAGUGAAAACCCAGGGCUUAACUCUGGGCUUGCUUUCGAUACGGGCAGACUAGAGGUAUGCAGGGGAGAACGGAAUUCCUGGUGUAGCGGUGAAAUGCGCAGAUAUCAGGAGGAACACCGGUGGCGAAGGCGGUUCUCUGGGCAUUACCUGACGCUGAGGAGCGAAAGUGUGGGGAGCGAACGGGAUUAGAUACCCCGGUAGUCCCUGUCUCUUAUAC